UUUUUCUCUCCUUUUACUCUUCUUAAGGUUCUGACUUCAUAUUUAAAGAGUAAAAGAGGAAGUAUUUCAUAGCACCAUAGAUAACUUGUAAAACCCUUAAAGUCAUUAUUUGGUCCUGCUUACAACUUAGCAUCUUAAAAAUCUGUAGCUUUUGUCCUCUCAUCCCUUUAAGUAAAGCAUAAAAACAAAAAACCAAAGCAACCUGAAUAUAACAAAACUUAAUCUUCCCUCAAAGAAAAGUCUCCUUAUGAAUUCUCUUUCUGCUGGUAAAUAUCUCUAGAAUCAAAGGCAUACUAGGAUUGACUUCAGUGUGUCUAUUCUAAGCUUUCCCUGUGUUUCUUAUUGGACAAGUUUCUGAAGCAUAAAAUUUGAAUCUGGUUUCUCUGGAAUUGUUUUCACAAAAGAUACUGCAAUCACCAUUUUAAAUUGCCUUUCCAAUUUCAGGAAUGUUUUUGACCUUAAAAAGUGACUUAAGGUUUUUGGAAAUGAUGUUUUCCUAGAAUGUGCCAGAUUUUAAUUUAUUCACUGUAUAAAAAAAAUAUUUGUUAAUUUUUUAAAAAGAUUGUUGCAGCUCUUGUACUGUUUAAAAGGGGUGAUAUUUAUUGUUUGCUUGGGUCAGACGUUAAAAUAGUAGUGUAGCAGUUCAUCUCCUUGCCUCAGUGCUAUUAUGAGAGUCCCAGUGAAAAUUGCAGAGAGCGCUGACAUAUUCAUAAAAAUCAAAUCUAGGGCAGCGUCACAUGAAGUUUCGUGUAAUGAUUGUCCCAUAAGGAAAGUAUGUGAAUACUGCUUUUGCAAAGGAUUAAAUAUAUUGUAAUUUUAGCUUGUGCUCUGUACUAUGCUUUCAGUGGAAUUAUUUAAGCCCAUUUGGUGACUGUUGUCCUUGCCCAUUUUAAAAACUAAAGUGUAGUAUAUAUUGUAUAAAAUGAAAGUAUCAUUAUAGCUUAAUUAGGAAAGUUGUACAUAAACACUGAAAAGGGUUAAAAACAGGCAGUUUUAUUAUGCAAUUGUAAAACACCAAAAAUAUAGAUUCAUCUUUGAUAUGUAAUACACUAAAUGUAUUUUGUACAGCAUCUGGUUUAAAAGGUGCCUUAUUAAGUUUACCAUUGAUUGCUUUGUUCUAUAUAUAGAUUACAUACAAUGUAUCAUUU
ensembl:lncRNA